rnacentral:hammerhead_ribozyme from 1 species
CACUGCUGACGAGUCUCAAACAGGACGAAACAGCUGUCCAACGC